CCAAGAGCAGCAAGCAAAGGGGCUCUGAUGGUCAUAUUAACCACACACACACACAGACACACACACACACACGGACCGAUUAGCCACACACUCCACAUUCAAGUCGCUGUUAAAGGAGGCUUGGGGACCUAAAGAGAGACACACAUACGCAUCACAUCAAGGAACAAAGGAUGCUUUGGAACAGCAUAUUCUUCGUCAUCUUUUCUCUUGUUUCAGUGGAGAGAUGUGAGGCAGAGAGGACAAGAAAACUUGUUGGAAAGAUGGCCAUCUUUAACUGUCCAUAUGAUACUGCGUACAAAGACUCCCCCAAAUACCUUAAGAAGCGAGACCAUAAUGUCAGUAUCACACUCAUUAGAUCUGAUGGAUGGAUGGGUUGGACUACGGUUGGGCGAUACAAGUUGAAUGAUGACAAAAACAGUGGCAAGUUUGAUGUGCACAUUUUCCCCUUGACCCUCAAUGACACUGGGACGUAUGUGUGUGGAGUGGAAGCAGCAGAAGACAGAGAUGGGCAGGAGACCAAGCUUGAGGUUCAUGAAGAGACAGAACCCACAAAAGCGAGAGUUGCCGAAACAACCACCUUUCCCCCAGUAACAGUUGUAUCCAUCCGGUCUGCAUCCCCAGCUCCUGGUGACUUAGUGCAGAUCAGCACAGGUGUGGCAGUGGUUGCAGCCGCAGUGCUGGUGUUCACACUGAUCCUACUCUACAUCCAGAAGACAAAGAGAAGCGAUAGACCAUCAGAGGGGCCCCAACUUCCGCUCAGUUUGACUAUGACAUCAAAUGAAAUAACUAUCCCACAGGAAAACAUUUAUGCUGAAGACACAACUUAUUCUCAGCUGGCUGGCUCCGAUGUGACCAACCCCCCUGUUGUCAGCAGCCAGCCAAUGACCCGCACGGGCACCACCAAUCAGAGACUAACAAACUCACAAGCCCCUAUCUACUCCCUUUUUACCUUUCCAAACUCACAAGCCCCUACCUAAUCCCCUCACUUUAGGCCUUCACCCA
ensembl:lncRNA